rnacentral:rRNA from 1 species
UACGGGGGGGGGCAAGCGUUGUUCGGAAUUACUGGGCGUAAAGGGCUCGUAGGCGGCCAACUAAGUCAGACGUGAAAUCCCUCGGCUUAACCGGGGAACUGCGUCUGAUACUGGAUGGCUUGAGUUUGGGAGAGGGAUGCGGAAUUCCAGGUGUAGCAGUGAAAUGCGUAGAUAAUCUGGAGGAACACCGGUGGCGAAGGCGGCAUCCUGGACCAACACUGACGCUGAGUGAGCGAAAGCCAGGGGAGCAAAACGGGG